rnacentral:rRNA from 1 species
GACGAACGCUGGCGGCGUGCUUAACACAUGCAAGUCGAGCGGUAAGGCCCUUUCGGGGGUACACGAGCGGCGAACGGGUGAGUAACACGUGGGUGACCUGCCCUCAGCUCUGGGAUAAGCCCGGGAAACUGGGUCUAAUACCGGAUAUGACUCCAUGACGCAUGUUGUGGGGUGGAAAGCCUUGCGCGGCUGAGGAUGGGCCCGCGGCCUAUCAGCUUGUUGGUGGGGUGAUGGCCACCAAGGCGACGACGGGUAGCCGGCCUGAGAGGGCGACCGGCCACACUGGGGACUGAGAUACGGCCCAGACUCCUACGGGAGGCAGCAGUGGGGAAUCUUGCGCAAUGGGCGAAAGCCUGACGCAGCGACGCCGCGUGAGGGAUGACGGCCU